ensembl:lncRNA
GGAGACAUGCCUUCAUUUGUGUACAUAGUCAAAUAUAUGCUGAACUGAACAAUAGCUCUUGUCAUCUUCUGUUUGGGUUGCNUCUGCAUGUUCUGCUCUUCAGACCCACGGAUGACGGCUGGUGGAUAAAUAUACUUAAGGAUAGAUAUAGAGGAAUCUCUGCUCAGUGGACUUUCAAACAUGCUGUUAACCGGCCGAUUCGGCACGCGAUGAAUCUCUCCGGUAAUCGAAAUGAGCUGCAAAGAUUCUGUGAUGAGUUUCCAGGCAAUCUGCAGGCGUUUCAUUCCCAUGUUCAGGAAAUUGAAGAUCAGAGAGAAACAAUACAAGAUCUGGAAGAAAGAAUACGAGAUCUCGAAUUAGAAAACAGAACACUGAGACAACCACGCAAUUAAAGAAUGGCUUCUUAAACCAUGAGAGAACAUGUUUUCCUCAAUCAAGAAAGACAUCAAGAUCUGCAUCUGUCUAGACCAGUGGAUAUUUCAAUAUAUUCUAUAUUUCUCCUAUGUUUGCAUGCUCAACUUUUGUUUCAAUCGGACUGAAUUCAUUCCAGUAGUGUUUACAUGAACGCUAAAUAUAAAGUGAUCGGGUUGAUGUGCGCGUCUAUAUGUCACAAGCUUUGAUAUGCGCACAUUUUAUAAUGACGGGAGACACUUUAUAACAAUUUAUUCAACAGGAAGAACCGCUUGUUCUGCGCGUCAUACGUCAUUACGCUAUUUCUGCGUCAUUGCACAUGCGCUGUCCUUUCAGUUUCGGUUUUCAAUCCGAAUAUAUAUUAAUAAUAUAAUUUGACAGCCCUAAUAUAUAUAUAUAUAUAUAUAUAUAUAUAUUAAUAUACAUUUGGAUUGAAAAGCGAAUAUAUAACCUGAUAUAUAUAUCAGAUGUCAGCAGGUUAGCGACAGUAAAACUUUAAAAUAUAUUUAGUUCCUUAUCUAGCAUGGGAAUCAUGAUUGCUGGUUGAAAGGUUACUGCAGUGAUUUGGGUGUAUUUUACCUUUAGGCUUUAAUAAAUAAAAAUGCGUGCACUAGCA